rnacentral:lncRNA from 1 species
UUUCGUUUUUAGUUCGAUUUCUGAGUUCCUCUUCAGCUGCGGAAACUAAUUUGCCUUAGGCUAGCAAAAUUGAUACGGGUGUCUUCACCUCUGAACUAUGAUUCUUAUGUUUCAAUCUUUGAUUCAUUGUUUAGAUUCGGAUGUGUAGAUACCCGCAUCUGUUAUGCUAGCUGUCUUUUUCUAUGUUCCUCUUAUUCGAUUAAAGGAAGUAUCCAACAAUAUUUUCCCUUUAAAUUUUAUGCUCUUGUGAUUGUUUUUUUUUUAAGUUUUGUAUAAUUAUAUGAAUAUAUGUAAUUUUCCAAAAUUUGUUCGUCUCAGAUCUAACAUUUUGAAUCGGAUUUAAUGUUUGGAUUUAUGAUUUAUGAAAUCGAAGAAAUGUAAGGAUAUUAUUAUAUAUUAGCAUGCAAAAAGUCAAAUAGAUUGUGAAUCUAUGUAUACAUCUUUUAUCUAAUUUUCUGAAUUAAUUGUUUUAAUACAAAAACUUCCAAGUGUCACUCUUUGAAAAUU